GACGAACGCUGGCGGCGUGCUUAACACAUGCAAGUCGAGCGGUAAGGCCUUUCGGGGUACACGAGCGGCGAACGGGUGAGUAACACGUGGGUGAUCUGCCCUGCACUCUGGGAUAAGCCUGGGAAACUGGGUCUAAUACUGGAUAUGACCUCAGCAUGCAUGUGCUGGGGUGGAAAGCUUUUGUGGUGCAGGAUGGGCCCGCGGCCUAUCAGCUUGUUGGUGGGGUAAUGGCCUACCAAGGCGACGACGGGUAGCCGACCUGAGAGGGUGACCGGCCACACUGGGACCGAGACACGGCCCAGACUCCUACGGGAGGCAGCAGUGGGGAAUAUUGCACAAUGGGCGGAAGCCUGAUGCAGCGACGCCGCGUGAGGGAUGAAGGCCUUCGGGUUGUAAACCUCUUUCAGCAGGGACGAAGCGUGAGUGACGGUACCUGCAGAAGAAGCACCAGCUAACUACGUGCCAGCCGCCGCCGUAAAAC
rnacentral:rRNA from 1 species